UACGGGGGGGGCAAGCGUUGUUCGGAAUUACUGGGCGUAAGGGCUCGUAGGUGGCCAACUAAGUCAUACGUGAAAUCCCUCGGCUUAACCGGGGAACUGCGUCUGAUACUGGUUGGCUUGAGUUUGGGAGAGGGAUGCGGAAUUCCAGGUGUAGCGGUGAAAUGCGUAGAUAUCUGGAGGAACACCGGUGGCGAAGGCGGCAUCCUGGACCAAUACUGACACUGAGGAGCGAAAGCCAGGGGAGCAAACGGG
rnacentral:rRNA from 1 species